UCGUGGAGUGAUUUGUCUGCUUGAUUGCGAUAACGAACGAGACCUCCGCCUGCUAAAUAGUGCCGUUAAUCUCGUAUUGACGGACACUUCUUAGAGGGACUACCACCGUAAGGUGGGGGAAGUUGGAGGCAAUAACA
rnacentral:rRNA from 1 species